rnacentral:rRNA from 1 species
ACAAGCGGUGGAGUAUGUGGUUAAUUCGAUGCAACGCGAAGAACCUUACCUGGUCCUGACAUCCCGGAGACCCUUAGGAAACUAGGGGGUGCUUCCAUCUAGAAGAAUCUGGAGACAGGUGCUGCAUGGCUGUCGUCAGCUCGUGUCGUGAGAUGUUGGGUUAAGUCCCGCAACGAGCGCAACCCUUGCCUUUAGUUGCCAGCAGUUCGGCUGGGCACUCUAAAGGGACUGCCGGUGUUAAACCGGAGGAAGGUGGGGAUGACGUCAAGUCCUCAUGGCCUUUAUGACCAGGGCUACACACGUACUACAAUGGCCGAUACAAAGGGCAGCGACACUGCGAGGUGAAGCCAAUCCCGUAAAAUCGGUCUCAGUCCGGAUUGGAGUCUGCAACUCGACUCCAUGAAGUUGGAAUCGCUAGUAAUCGUGGAUCAGCAUGCCACGGUGAAUACGUUCCCGGGCCUU